UACGUAGGGUGCAAGCGUUGUCCGGAAUUAUUGGGCGUAAAGAGCUCGUAGGCGGUGUGUCGCGUCGGCCGUGAAAACCUGGGGCUCAACUCUGGGCGUGCGGUCGAUACGGGCAUCACUUGAGUUCGGCAGGGGAGACUGGAAUUCCUGGUGUAGCGGUGAAAUGCGCAGAUAUCAGGAGGAACACCGGUGGCGAAGGCGGGUCUCUGGGCCGAUACUGACGCUGAGGAGCGAAAGCGUGGGGGAGCGAACAGG
rnacentral:rRNA from 1 species